rnacentral:rRNA from 1 species
GACGAACGCUGGCGGCGUGCCUAACACAUGCAAGUCGAACGAGGUCCAUCCUUCGGGAGAAGACCUAGUGGCGAACGGGUGAGUAACACGUGAAGAACCUGCCCCGAAGACCGGGAUAACCCUCCGAAAGGAGAGCUAAUACCGGAUACCCCCACCGAACCGCAUGGUUUGGUGAGGAAAUGGAUUCCGCUUCGGGAGGGCUUCGCGGCCUAUCAGCUAGUUGGUGGGGUAACGGCCCACCAAGGCAUCGACGGGUAGCUGGUCUGAGAGGACGAUCAGCCACACUGGGACUGAGGCACGGCCCAGACUCCUACGGGAGGCAGCAGUGGGGAAUCUUGCGCAAUGGGCGAAAGCCUGACGCAGCAACGCCGCGUGGGGGAUGAAGGCUCUCGGGUUGUAAACCCCUUUCAGCAGGGACGAAUCAAGACGGUACCUGCAGAAGAAGCCCCGGCUAACUACGUGCCAGCAGCCGCGGUAAU